rnacentral:rRNA from 1 species
CUACGGGGUGCAGCAGUGAGGAAUUUUGCGCAAUGGGGGAAACCCUGACGCAGCAACGCCGCGUGAGCGAAGAAGGCCUUCGGGUCGUAAAGCUCUGUCAAGUGGGAAAAAAAUUCUUUGAUGAACAGUCAAAGGACUUGAUGGUACCACUGGAGGAAGCACCGGCUAACUCCGUGCCAGCAGCCGCGGUAAUACGGAGGGUGCAAGCGUUGUUCGGAAUUACUGGGCGUAAAGAGCGUGUAGGCGGUUUGACAAGUCAGAUGUGAAAGCCCCGGGCUCAACCCGGGAAGUGCAUUUGAAACUGUUUCACUAGAGUAUGGGAGAGGAGAUUGGAAUUCCUGGUGUAGAGGUGAAAUUCGUAGAUAUCGGGAGGAACACCCGUGGCGAAGGCGAUUCUCUGGACCAAUACUGACGCUGAGACGCGAAAGCGUGGGGAGCAAACAGGAUUAGAUACCCUUGUAGUC